GAGCAGAACAGCACAACUGCUAAAAAAUUAAUUUAUAUACAUAUAUACCAGUGAUUCUUGAGAACAGGGACAAAACAGAUCCUAUCGAUAAAGCACAAAAUUUGAAUAAAAUAUACACAAAAUAUAUAUUUUUUUCAAAUAUCUGACUAAACUAACCUGGGUCAUG